AAAUUACACAGUGUAACUACACUUGUAUUUUAUAUGUUGCAGUAACUGAAUCUUUUGAGGCAAUUGGUUUGCAUAAAUUUAAGUAAAUCCAACCUAUUUUCCUGCUCUACAUACUUAGCUAGCAAUUUGCCAGUUAGCUUCCCAGUCUGAAUUUCUGUGCAAUGUCUUUAUUCAGUGAACUCUUCUAUCCUGUACUCCAAUUCUAUUCCUGAACUCCGAUAUUCUACAUCCAUUUUGUGAAUGUUUUGCUUGCUUGCUUGUUGAUCUUCAGCAUGCUCUGAAGGCAGUAUCGAGUUUCUCUUACUUUAAACCGCCCAACUUGCACCUGAUUGGCACUUUAGCCUUUUGAUUCCCUCCCAGUGAGGCGGUGCUUCACAAAGCAAAUUGAUUGUCAAUCUGUUGCUCUCUGCCUGGUGGUUGUUUCAGAAGAUGAGGAAACAUGGUGACUGAGGUUUACAGCCAACUAGCCAGAUUAUGCAGCUUUUUUUUUUUACUAGAUAGCGGUCCUAAAAAACUACAUACCUUUAAAAUAUGAACAAAUACGUACAAUUCCUUAAUUAUUUGAUUCAUGGGUGAUACAAGUUUGGUCAUUUGGAAUGCAACUCAAGGACUGUGGCUUCUUAAUUACAGAGUUUUGAAGCGAUGGAGGAAAUUUACGUCAAUAUGGAACCUGUUGAACAAAGUGCAUCUCAUCCCACAGGUAAGAACAAAGUUACAGAGAAAUAUAGUAUGUAUUUAAUUUAAUUACAUUUUGCUAAGGCUCAGGUUUCUGUUCAGGUUUCUGUUCAGGUAGCAGCAGCUCCAAAGAGAGGCUCUGCCUCGGUGUGGCCGUAUCUUUGGGAAUCCUGAACGUUUUCCUUUUGACCGAACUCAUCGCCCUCAGUGUACACACUCAUGACAUGACAGCAGAUUUUUCUGACAUCAGCAACAUUCUGACUGAGCAGAACAGCAACAAGUUUCCCUCCGUGAACGCUAACUUCACUGCUA